rnacentral:rRNA from 1 species
GACUGAACGCUGGCGGCAGGCCUAACACAUGCAAGUCGAGCGGAUGAAGGGAGCUUGCUCCUGGAUUCAGCGGCGGACGGGUGAGUAAUGCCUAGGAAUCUGCCUGGUAGUGGGGGAUAACGUCCGGAAACGGGCGCUAAUACCGCAUACGUCCUGAGGGAGAAAGUGGGGGAUCUUCGGACCUCACGCUAUCAGAUGAGCCUAGGUCGGAUUAGCUAGUUGGUGGGGUAAAGGCCUACCAAGGCGACGAUCCGUAACUGGUCUGAGAGGAUGAUCAGUCACACUGGAACUGAGACACGGUCCAGACUCCUACGGGAGGCAGCAGUGGGGAAUAUUGGACAAAGGGCGAAAGCCUGAUCCAGCCAUGCCGCGUGUGUGAAGAAGGUCUUCGGAUUGUAAAGCACUUUAAGUUGGGAGGAAGGGCAGUAAGUUAAUACCUUGCUGUUUUGACGUUACCAACAGAAUAAGCACCGGCUAACUUCGUG